AACCUAUUUUCUAAUUUACUAGCGUUUUAAUGAGCUUACACAUUCCUUGGUGGUUAUAGAUUCAUCUCUAGAUGCAAUAAAUCUUUGGUUCUUUAUUUUCAUAAUAAUUGGUUUCCUGUGCCCAAAACCGAAUGAGAAGUUGUAGAUUGAAUUGUUGUUAGAGCUCAUGAAGUUAGUUAUUUACUGAUUAGUGGUGCCUUCCUAAAUAUACAAUCGAAGAUAUAUUUAAUAGAGAUUGACCUUGCUAUAUUCACCUUUAUAUUAUGCGUUUUCUAUUCCCCGAUUGUUGUGAUUGAUCUAUUUCCACUGAUUAUUAUUUUUUCUUUACUGACUGCAGUGUUGGACACAAGAGAGAGGUCAUUCUUGAAAAACAACUGCUCAAUCGUGAACAUGUUGCUUGGAAGACAUCCAUAAAGCACACUGUAACAAAAUCAGAUCCUCCAAGAAUUAGCCAUGAAAACCUCAUUAAAACUCCAGUUUCUCAAGGACCAGUAGAAGAUGUUUCAUUUUCUGAAAGUGACAUCUCUCCUGCGCACUGUAACUUGUGGGAUGAUUUUAAUUGGCUUUUACAUUUGCAAGUGGAGAGCAUUUUAUGGUUCUAGUAGUGUCAUCAUGCCAAUGCAAAAUCAUUUGAGGCCUUGGAUGAUAUGAAG